CGGUGCUGGGGUCUCAGCAGGCCGUGCUCAGGGGCGUCUCCACCAUGGCCUGGGCUCUGCUCCUCCUCACCCUCCUGUCCCAAAGCAUAGGUGA
rnacentral:pre_miRNA from 1 species